rnacentral:rRNA from 1 species
GAUCCUGGCUCAGGAUGGACGCUAGCGGCAGGCUUAACACAUGCAAGUCGAGGGGCAGCGGGGAGUAGCAAUACUCCGCCGGCGACCGGCGCACGGGUGCGUAACGCGUAUGCAACCUACCUUUAACAGGGGCAUAACACUGAGAAAUUGGUACUAAUUCCCCAUAACAUUCGAGAAGGCAUCUUCUUGGGUUAAAAACUCCGGUGGUUAAAGAUGGGCAUGCGUUGUAUUAGCUAGUUGGUGAGGUAACGGCU